GCCUCUCCUUCCACCCUGGGUUGGGGAGGGAGGUUAACAGGAGGAGCUUCCAAGAAGUGGCACUUGAGAUGACAAGCCAGGUGGGCAUCCCAGGCAGAGAGCACAGCAGAAGCAAAGGCUGGGAGGCCUGAGAAUACCCAGACACUUCUGGAAGGGAGGGGGUCUCCCAGGGUCUGCCCUGCGGCUUUGCACCAGGCAAGGGCUCAGGACAUGCACAGGAAGAUAUUCAUAUCUUGCCUUGCACAAGGUUUUGUUUUUUUUUUUUUUUUUUUGCUUGUUUGUUUUCUUUUUUUUUUUUGAGAUGGAGUUUCACUCUUUUUGCCCAGGCUGGAGUGCAAUGGCACAAUCUCGGCUCACCACAACCUCCACCUCCCAGGUUCAAGUGAUUCUUCUGCCUCAGCCUCCCGAGUAGCUGGGAUUACAGGCAUAUGCCCCCACCCUGGCUAAUUUUGUAUUUUUAGUAGAGAUGGGGUUUCUCCACGUUGGUCAGGCUGAUCUUGAACUCUCGACCUCAGGUGAUCCACCCGCCAAGGCCUCCCAAAGUGCUGGGAUUACAGGCGUGAGCCACCGCGCCCAGCCGCACACAGGUUGUUUUAAAAUGAAAACCAGAGACCCAGCAGGUGUUCGCCAUGACACAGUCUCAGCCACCUUAGGAAGCUGCAGCUGGGAAGAGCCAAAAUCUCACCCUGCCUGAACAGACAGGGAAACCGAAGCCACAAGAGUGGAAGUGAGACCCCUAGAACCCAGGCCCCUCACCCUUCCCCAGCAGGUUUGGAAAUAGCCAUCCUUCAGGGACAGGGGUCUGAGAAACUCUAAACAGACCCAAGUCUGCCUGGAGGUCACUCUCUGAUUAGCGGAGGUGAGUGGUUGCAAGCUGUCUGUCACAUCCAGCCUGCCACGUGGUUUUGUGCAGCUUGUGAGCUAAGAAUGGUGGUUACAUUUUUAAGUGGUUGGAAAAUGUUUUGUGAUGCAUGAAAACUGUGUGAAAUUCAAGAUUCCGUUUUCAUAAAUUUUUCUUGGGACACAGCCACACUCAUUGGUAUACACAUAUUGUCUCUGGCUGCUUUCACAUUGCAGCGGCAGAGUUGAAUAGUUUGAUCACCUGCAAAGCCUCACAACACAAACGCUUAACAUUUCCUGAGCCUGUGGUCAAUGCCAGACCCUGUGGUAGGUGCUUUGCAUACAUCAGCUCAUAUAAUCCUUGAAGCUGCCUUUAGAAAUGAGGAAACUGAAGCUGAGAGGGAGAAUGUGCCUUGCUCAAGGUCACACAGAGUAAUGGCAGAGCCAGGACUCAAGUCCAGGCACAUGGAAUAAUGUUCUUGAUCUUAACCCCUAGCCUGGGACGGUGCAGGCUGAACGGUGAGCUCCGGCACAUCAGCAAUUACUGUAUGUAAGGAAAAAGGAGUAGCUUAGCAGCAGGAAUCAAGCCCAAGAAAAAUACUCCAAAUUGCCUUCCAAGAUUGAAGCAAUGAUAUCUGAGACCCUAUUGGUUCUCUUCUUCUGGAGAACGCUAAUAGAGAGGCUCUGUCCACGCAGAAAUGAUGGGAGCACAGGCUGGGGGAGUCAGCGGGCAGGUGUGAGAAGUAGCUGGGAUAUGGACGCACUGUGAAACCAGAGCCUGGGUGUGGGAUACGCAAGAAGAGAUGGGAGUCAAGGAGGCUCAGAAGUGGAAGAGCAUGAACUUCCUCCUGUAGACAAAAGGGAUAAUCACUUGUGUCUCCUUCAGAGACCUUGACAGAAAACAUCACUCUAGAAGCAAAACAGGGAACAGGCGGUUGGAGGCAGAGAAACCAGUUACAAGGCUGCUCGGACACUAGACUGGUAUCUACGUGGGGAGGCACCUGGCAGGUGGCCAGAUCCCCAGAAGGAAUCUCCACCUUGUGGCUUAUGAGGCAUUCUGGGCCACUGCCUCCUGAAGACACUGCUCAGGGUGAUAAGAACUCAUUUUGCAUUUGGGGAGCUGUAGGCGGGGAUGGUGAUAAGCAGCCCAGGAUUUUGUUCGCCAAGAGGUAUUAUUCCAACUUCCACAACCCAAAUAGCAUCUCUGCACGGAAAUGAAGCUGCAACAGCUCCCUGUCAUGGAUGGGGCACUUCCCAGCUCUCAGACCUCAUCACUAGAGCCCCCAAGCUCGGAUGUUGUUGCUGAACUCCCUCAAGGCACUGAGCCUUUAGUUAGCCUGAGCACCUCUCCUGGCUGGACCAGGGGUCACUUGCUCCAUUACAGUUCUCUCCAGCCCGGUGACACUCUCACUGUAAAUACAAGUUCUCAUUCAGUGAAUGCCAAGACGAAUCCAACCCUACCUAGUGGGGGAGAGGAGAUUAGGAAAUGGGCGAUGAGAGGCACAGGGCUCUUGGGAAGGGAGCCCUGCUGCUGGGGGCCUGAGAGGCACCCAGUGGAGAGGAGCCUGGACAAACUUGGCAACCAGCCCCCUGACCGCGUUCCGCAGCAUCUCGGGGGCCAGGCACCCUGCGUGUGAUCCCUUUCCGCUGUAACCAGGCCUGCCCCCUGCUCUUCCCCUCGGAGACACAGAUGACCGCUCCUCUCUGGCAGCCCAAAGCUUUCUCUGCCCCCACAACUGCCUGCGGGCCUUUGUCUGAGCCACUUCUCCUCAGUUCUGUUCCAAACCCACCAGGAAGUCCUUCCCCAAAAGUCCACUUACUCUUUGAGAUCGGUGUGAGGAAGCGGCUCUAAGAACAAAACUGAGCAGCCAGUGGUGAGUGCCCAAGCUCAAGUGUGCAGAUUUUUUCUGACAGCAGAACAGACCUGUCUACUUGCCUUCCAAGUUGAGUCCUGAAGUGGAUAACUUCCUCCUCUGACUUCUGCCCUCAGGCUCCCUGGGCAAUGGCCCUGGCGUUGCUUUCUAGCCCCUCACCAUGAAGCCUGUCAGGGAGCCGCGUGCCUCACCCUCUAUCUGCCCCUCACUAAACUCAGGAUCCUAAAAUAUGCCCCCUUACCCAUUUUCGUUCACAUGAAUUAAACUCCAAAUACAAUGAAUUUGAAGGAUCCCAUCUGCCUCUCUAAACUCACCCCCCUCCACAUUUCAGCCAAUCCAACCAACUCAGCAGCCACCUUAUCCUCACGGACCUUGGGAUGUGCAGUAAUUCCCAUCUCCCACCCAGCCCUCCUGACACUCGCCACAGGGGAACUUUCACCCAGCACACCACGGCUAGGUGAACACACCCCCACCCCACCCCACGCCCCAAAGUUCGAAGUUGAGAAUAAGCCAUUUGCUGGUGGACUCGGUUCCCGCAGGAGGGACGAGGAUGGCUGCCAUCUGCACAUCAGCUGCCUGGGACUUAACAUUUCACACGUCACGUUUCAAACAGAGGCAGCAGCUGCAGCUGAGAUGAAGCAUAUCAAAGUAUACUUAGCCCUUACUAUAUUGGAAGAAAACGUAUUUCCCAGUUCCGAUGACCUUCAUUUUCUGCCAUAUUAAAGUCUUACAUAAUUUAA